rnacentral:rRNA from 1 species
GACGGGCCCGCACAAGCAGCGGAGCGUGUGGUUUAAUUCGAUGCUACACGAAGAACCUUACCAGGGUUUGACAUGCAAGUGGUAGGAAACCGAAAGGCGACCGACCUUCGGGGAGCUUGCACAGGUGCUGCAUGGCUAUCGUCAGCUCGUGUCGUGAGAUGUUCGGUUAAGUCCGCUAACGAGCGCAACCCUCGCUGUGUGUUACAAGUGUCACACGGUACUGCCGGUCUUAAGCCGGAGGAAGGUGGGGAUGACGUCAAGUCAGCAUGGCCUUUAUGUCCUGGGCUACACACACGCUACAAUGGCCAACACAAUAGGUUGCUAAGCCGCGAGGUGGAGCCAAUCCUCAAAGUUGGUCUCAGUUCAGAUUGCAGGCUGCAACCCGCCUGCAUGAAGAUGGAGUUGCUAGUAACCGCAGGUCAGCUAUACUGCGGUGAAUACGUUCCCGGGGCUU